rnacentral:rRNA from 1 species
GAUGAACGCUGGCGGCGUGCCUAAUACAUGCAAGUCGAGCGAACGGACGAGAAGCUUGCUUCUCUGAUGUUAGCGGCGGACGGGUGAGUAGCACGUGGAUAACCUACCUAUAAGACUGGGAUAACUUCGGGAAACCGUAGCUAAUACCGGAUAAUAUUUUGAACCGCAUGGUUCAAAAGUGAAAGACGGUCUUGCUGUCACUUAUAGAUGGAUCCGCGCUGCAUUAGCUAGUUGGUAAGGUAACGGCUUACCAAGGCAACGAUGCAUAGCCGACCUGAGAGGGUGAUCGGCCACACUGGAACUGAGACACGGUCCAGACUCCUACGGGAGGCAGCAGUAGGGAAUCUGCCGCAAUGGGCGAAAGCCUGACGGAGCAACGCCGCGUGAGUGAUGAAGGUCUUCGGAUCGUAAAACUCUGUUAUUAGGGAAGAACAUAUGUGUAAGUAACUGUGCACAUCUUGACGGUACCUAAUCAGAAAGCCACGGCUAACUACGUG